ACCUCCGGCUCCUUCGUGUCAAGCAGCCGGAUUUGCGUGUGUGUACCGUACUUGCUUUCGUGGGAUAUCUUCGGCGGGUCAAAAGACUGAUUUCAAUUGUGCGCGCUUACGCACUGCGUUGGCAGGAACCGGCGAUGACUAAGUUGAUGCAGUGGUUGCUAGGGCUCUCCAUAUUCAUGGCAAUAUGGGCCGCACUUCUUUCGCAAAGGUUAGGCGCUGCGGAGACCCACGUUUGGCUGCUUCCAGUGUACGCCUGCGUUGUCUUUGGGAUGUAUGCUGCUUCAGUUGUCAUCUAUAGAGUACUCACAUUUAACAACUGUGAAGCAGCAGCAGCAGAGCUCAAGAAGAGUGAGUGCAUUGGAACAGCACAGCAUAAGCAGCAGGCAAGAAAAGUGUGUUCAGAUUGACGCUCAGUGCCACGGCCCAAGCUUCCUGUUGCGGGAGUGAUGUCCAACCAAGCAAUGGCAGCGACCAACAGGAAAAACAAACUGGGGAAUUUUUUACGUCAUUUGCAAAUCGUGGAAGCCAGAGAGGACCUCAAGAAACGGGGCUACAAGUUUGAUUGAAGUGAAGGGUAUAUUUUGAUACUGAAAGCUAAGAAGCAUAAACUUCAACACAUUGAUGCCAUUCCUCUCAUCAUUUGUGCCUACCAACGUUUCCAGUUAUAAAGGUUGUCACCAAUGUCCUUGCAUUGUGGGUAUCAAUACAAAAUAAAAGACUUGAUUUUUUUAAA